GAGUUGGCAGGAGACAAGUCAAUUAACCUAAAGGGCUAUAUGGUUGGAAAUGCUCUGACUGAUGAUUUCCAUGAUCACUUUGGUAUUUUCCAGUUCAUGUGGGCUACCGGUUUGAUAUCAGAUCAGACCUACAAGCUUUUGAAUGUCUUCUGUGACUAUCAGUCAUUUAUUCAUUCAUCACCACAAUGUGACAAAGUUCUUGAUAUUGC
rnacentral:misc_RNA from 1 species